CCUACGGGUGGCAGCAGUGAGGAAUAUUGGUCAAUGGGCGGGAGCCUGAACCAGCCAAGUCGCGUGCGGGAUGAAGGCCCUACGGGUCGUAAACCGCUUUUGCACGGGGAUAACACCCUCCACUUGUGGAGGUCUGCAGGUACCGUGCGAAUAAGGGACGGCUAAUUCCGUGCCAGCAGCCGCGGUAAGACGGAAGGCCCGAGCGUUAUCCGGAUUCAUUGGGUUUAAAGGGGGCGUAGGCGGGCGUUCAAGUCAGCUGUAAAAGCGCGCGGCUCAACCGCGCCCCGCAGUUGAAACUGGUGGCCUUGAGUGCACAAGAGGUAGGCGGAAUUCGUGGUGUAGCGGUGAAAUGCAUAGAUAUCACGAGGAACCCCGAUUGCGAAGGCAGCCUGCCGGGGUGCGACUGACGCUGAGGCUCGAUGGUGCGGGUAUCAAACAGGAUUAGAUACCCCAGUAGUC
rnacentral:rRNA from 1 species